ACACAGGUUUUUUAGAAGCGAUUUAUGUGGCAGUCACACACACCCUCUAAUGGCCGCCUAAUCAUUUCGGGACAAGCAACUAAUUUGGACUGUUUUUAGGGACAGCGGCAGAGCAAGAGGCUGAGAGUGUGCCAGGAUUCACUGUGCACCGCUUACAAUGAAUUUAUUUUAUUAUUUGCUGAUGUUUGCAAUUUGGGCACGUGCCGCAAAUUUUCAAAUACGAGUACGAGUAGUUCUGCAAGCCAACACCGGACGUGGCAAACACUCUGGAGAGGCGAGAGCUGCUGCCAAAGUACAAUACUGGUAUCAUUCACAUUGGACACUUGGCCCGAGGCCCUUGGCUGGAUGGCUUCGGCACUUGGCUCUGCCAGUUGGCCCGGCUUUGGGGCACACGGAUUCAAUGGCUGAAUGGCUGGCUGAACGCUUCAGCGUCCUGGAUGCCCACACACGCGACGCGAACGCACGAAGCCCGGCAGCGGCACCGGCAGCAGACACAUCCUUACGGGCGCACAACAAAAACGAAACUGAAGCGCGUUCGUUUUUUGCACAAAUAAAUUCUCAGCUCGUCGUGGCACUGGCAGAUAGCGACAGCGACAGCGCGCUGCUGUGGCAGUGGCAGUGGCAACAACGGCAGACCGUUAGCUGUUCGCUUGCCUCGUGCCUCGCUUUCGUUUCGGGCAGCGGCGUCUGCCUUCGUCUCUCGAUUCCGUUGCAUAGAUUUGAGCGCGGGUGGACGUUUCGUUUCGUCGUUUCGUUCGUUCGUCCUGCCCGAAGGAACACAGUGAAGCAAAACGCGAGAGAGGAGAGAGCUUGGCCGCCCAUCCGCUCUCCUGUGCCACUUUCAACUCCGAAACUCACCUCAAUUCCGAAUGGAGCGGCCUUAUCACGGAGCGAGCACAUGAUAAGAGCAGAGCACACGACCUACACAAUGCGCUCAGGCUAAAACGACAAACAAGCAUCAAUAAAAACCGUGUGGUUUCAUCGUUUGACGUUAAAUUAGACUGGAUAUACAAUGUAACUUUGCGCUCUGCUUACAUCAUGUCAAAUCUUGUUAAGGCCCAGAAACAAUGAGAAGAACCAUAUUUCAAAUUAUGCUUUAUUAUGCUUGCUUCAACCCAAGCAACUCCAGCUAUGCUGUCCUUCUUCUCCAAAUCCAAUGGUAUCCGUCCCCCAUAGACCAGCCUUCAACUUCCGCAAUUAUCGAAUUGGGUACGAAUUGGCACCUGCCCCUAGCCGAUGGCCACGCCCCCGAGACAACUGCCCACAAUUGAAAAGCAAUAAAAAUGAAUUUAAGGCACACCCAGUCGAAGGGGGCGCAUCCGUAUCCCACCGCAAUCGCAUCCCGGGCGAAAGUCGAUCAGAAGUCAUCCCCCGGAAGUCAGGACUGCAAUCGUGUUCGCAGUCCUGUUAAUCGCAGGCUCUUCAUGUUGCUGCCGCUGUCAACGCCUCAGCGGAGGAAGGACAGCAAGAGAAGCCACCCCUAAACGCAACCAGCGACAAUUUAUAACCAAUUUUAAAUUGCAAAAAAUUGCAAUACUGAUAAGGGUGCAGGGCCAGGAGCUGGGCCAGGGGAUGGGGACGGGACAGUCAUCAGCCGAAACCGAAACUAAUUCGCAACAAGCGCAAUAAAAAUUAUGAACAAUAGCGGAAAUUAGGCAUGGCAGAGGGGAGGAUCCCGUGCGGUUAUGCCAUUGACAGCGUAACGAAAUGUUAACCAAUGCAUGACGAAUGCCAGCAGCGUCUGCCUGAGAAGGAGGAACAGGACCACAAAUUGGAGACGACAUUGGGGAUAACACUUUCGCUGCCAGCGGAAGCCCCAUGACCAUGCCCUCACUGCUCUGUGCCCUGUGCCCUGUGUCACGGGGGCGGGGGGCUAAGUUCAGGGCCCCUGGAAAAU
rnacentral:sRNA from 1 species